rnacentral:rRNA from 1 species
AGUGAACGCUGGCGGUAGGCCUAACACAUGUAAGUCGAACGGCAGCACAGUAAGAGCCUGCUCUUACGGGUGGCGAGUGGCGGACGGGUGAGGAAUACAUCGGAAUCUACUUUUUCGUGGGGGAUAACGUAGGGAAACUUACGCUAAUACCGCAUACGACCUACGGGUGAAAGCAGGGGAUCUUCGGACCUUGCGCGAUUGAAUGAGCCGAUGUCGGAUUAGCUAGUUGGCGGGGUAAAGGCCCACCAAGGCGACGAUCCGUAGCUGGUCUGAGAGGAUGAUCAGCCACACUGGAACUGAGACACGGUCCAGACUCCUACGGGAGGCAGCAGUGGGGAAUAUUGGACAAUGGGCGCAAGCCUGAUCCAGCCAUACCGCGUGGGUGAAGAAGGCCUUCGGGUUGUAAAGCCCUUUUGUUGGGAAAGAAAAGCAGCAGGUUAAUACCCCGCUGUUCUGACGGUACCCAAAGAAUAAGCACCGGCUAACUUCGUG